GCCUUGCUAGCUCAGUCGGUAGAGCGUCAGUCUCAUAAUCUGAAGGUCGUGAGUUCGAUCCUCACGUGAGGCA
rfam:Acanthamoeba castellanii str. Neff unplaced genomic scaffold scf7180000084770, whole genome shotgun sequence.